GACCGCAUAGCUCAGUUGGAAGAGCAUUGGGCUAGUAUUCCAAAGGUCGUAGGUUCGAAUCCCACCGUGUCCG